GAUGAACGCUGGCGGCGUGCCUAAUACAUGCUAGUCGAGCGAAUGGAUUAAGAGCUUGCUCUUAUGAAGUUAGCGGCGGACGGGUGAGUAACACGUGGGUAACCUGCCCAUAAGACUGGGAUAACUCCGGGAAACCGGGGCUAAUAUCGGAUAACAUUUUGAACCGCCUGGUUCGAAAUUGAAAGGCGGCUUCGGCUGUCACUUAUGGACGGACCCCGGUCGCAUUAGCUAGUUGGUGAGGUAACGGCUCACCGAGGCAACGAUGCGUAGCCGACCUGAGAGGGUGAUCGGCAACACUGGGACUGAGACACGGCCCAGACUCCUACGGGAGGCAGCAGUAGGGAAUCUUCCGCAAUGGACGAAAGUCUGACGGAGCAACGCCGCGUGAGUGAUGAAGGCUUUCGGGUCGUAAAACUCUGUUGUUAGGGAAGAACAAGUGCUAGUUGAAUAAGCUGGCACCUUGACGGUACCUAACCAGAAAGCCACGGCUAACUACGUGCCAGCCGCCGCGGUAA
rnacentral:rRNA from 1 species